UAGGGUAUAGCCAAGCGGUAAGGUAGCAGGUUUUGAUACCGCCCCGCCCAGGUUCGCAUCUCGGUACCCCAGCCA
rnacentral:tRNA from 1 species